CUGGUGGGAGAGGUGGUGGUGGUGCGAAUGGGAGUGGGAAUUGGCGUGGCCACCGGCGCCACGGCCAUGACUGCUACUCCCAGAAGGCGUCGUGGGCCUCCUCCCCGCAGACGAAGUAGUCGAUAAUACCGGCAUAGGUAGUGAUUUCGGCGCCCACAGGAGCCUCAUCCACCAGAACCACCCGCCCGCCAUCUUCGCGUGCUCGCGCCGCUGCUCUUUCAACUUCCGCCGCAGCGCGGCGCGGCGCUCAUUCUCCUUCUCCCAGUAGUCGGAGCGGUAUUCAUCCCAGUUCUCGCGGAAGGCGGGGGAGAAGGAUUUCGGGAGC
rnacentral:sRNA from 2 species